rnacentral:lncRNA from 1 species
UCCUAAAUGUAUUGGAAUUCCAGAAGCAUAAUUUUGUGUCUUCUGGGAAUGCAAUUAUUUUUUUAGGUUUGAAAGGUGAAACUAAAAAGAAACGUUUCCCUUUUGAGCAUAUGAAAUCUAUCUAUGAUCAUGACGUUUGUCGGAAAUUGUCUUGUGGAAAUUGAAAGUAGGUCGAGAGCAGAUAACGAGUUAGUUGUACUGAAUAGUCAACCCACCAUUUGUUGUUUUAAACAAAAGUGUUACAUUUUACGGAUUGUCUUUUUUUUUUUACAGUUUGACAAAUACCAAAGAAAAGUAAAAAACAUAACGUUAAAAUUCACAUAAUGUAAUUGAACUAAGAAUAUGCUAAGAAUCAUUAGUGAAUAUACACUUAAACAAAAAGGGGGAAAACUGAAGCCAAAUAUCUAAGAUACAUAGAUUGUCGAAAUCAACAUUUGAGUUGAGUGUCAUAAGAAAUAUAUAGUGGGGAAAAUAAAAUGGAAUAAAAUACAAUUAACAUGAGUAGGAGUCGGUUAAUAUUUUUAAUUGGUUAAAUGAAUAGCCAUAUAUUAUCAUAUUAUUUUUCAUUCGUAGAUACAUUUUGUACUUUAAGUUCGUAAGCUGCAUAACAGUGAAAAAGGACGCAAAAAAACCCAAACUAACAUAACUCCCAUUUAUAUAUUGUGCCGUUCACUGUUUUCAUAUUUGACAACAUGCAUACUCUAUAAGCCAACUGCUUUCCAACACAGGGAAUGUCUAUAAAUUGAAUAUUUAUAGUAAUUUUUCGUAAAGACAUUUUAUGUACAAUUUGAACCAAGGA